AGGUGCAAACAAAUUAAUUGAAUAAAAUAGAGCUUGUCCUUUUGCAUUAUAAAACAAUCAAACAUUGUUUAUUUCAUCCAAAUGAGAAAAUAUGACUAAAUUUUUCAAAUUUGUUAAUGUUAUAAUCCUCAUUUUUUCCUUAUUACUUGUUGGAUGCAAUGCAUUUUAUUUAUGUACUACUUCCCUAGCUUGUCCAAGGAAAUUGUGCACCUUUCCUGAAGUUCCCAAGUGCAAAUGGUUCAUUUGUUCAUGCAUGGAUGAUGAAUAUCGUUUUUAAAUGUGAAGCUCAAAAAAAUGUGAAGCUCUAGUUAUUGUAUACCAAUGAGAUGGAUAGGACAAGAGCUAGCUUGGUUCAAAUCAUGAAGAUCUAAAUCAAGGAUUAAUGAUGAUUUAUUUCGAUGUAAAUUUUUAUACAUUACUCUUUUUUUUUUUAAUGUUUGUUAAAUACUCCAAUCAAGAACAAGAACUGGUAUCCUUCCUUCAAAAAAAAAUAAAAAAAGAACUGGCCUGAAUUACUAAAGAACUUCAUUGGAAAUAAUGAAAUAUUUCAUUUUAUUAGC